rnacentral:rRNA from 1 species
GGGAACAUACCCUUUUCUACGGAAUAGCUCUGGGAAACUGGAAUUAAUACCGUAUACGCCCUACGGGGGAAAGAUUUAUCGGGGAAGGAUUGGCCCGCGUUGGAUUAGCUAGUUGGUGGGGUAAAGGCCUACCAAGGCGACGAUCCAUAGCUGGUCUAAGAGGAUGAUCAGCCACAUUGGGACUGAGACACGGCCCAAACUCCUACGGGAGGCAGCAGUGGGGAAUAUUGGACAAUGGGCGCAAGCCUGAUCCAGCCAUGCCGCGUGAGUGAUGAAGGCCCUAGGGUUGUAAAGCUCUUUCAGUGGGGACGAUAAUGACGGUACCCACAGAAGAAGCCCCGGCUAACUUCGUGCCAGCAGCCGCGGUAAUACGAAGGGGGCUAGCGUUGUUCGGAAUUACUGGGCGUAAAGCGCACGUAGGCGGAUAUUUAAGUCAGGGGUGAAAUCCCGGGGCUCAACCCCGGAACUGCCUUUGAUACUGGAUAUCUUGAGUUCGGAAGAGGUAAGUGGAAUUGCGAGU